rnacentral:lncRNA from 1 species
UUUAUCAAGGAAACAUAGUAUCAGUCAAAAAUACGAGGCUCAAAGGAUGAAAAAAUGAGGGCUUGCUCUUUUCUUAUUUCUCUGCAGGAUCAAGGAUGCUGUUGACAGUUGAGGAAUUCAUGCUGUCUUUUCUAAGACACAGAUCAAGGUUGCUUUUGAAUGCACUAUCAGUUGUUAAAGCCACCGUUUCUUUUUCAGAUGAUUACAUUUUUGUCUCUUGCUCUUUGGUUUCAGACAUUACAUGAUGAUCUCCUGUCUGGAAAGAUCCGCUCCAACAGAAUGUUCCUUUGGUGGAAUCCCGCCACCUCACUCCGACUAAAGCAGCAUCUCAAGAUAAGGACACUAAGUUGGAGUGAGCAGCGCGUAAGUAAAAAUGCCAUCCAUCAUGAGUAUUUUUACUCUCAGGGGUGUUACAUUUGAAAGGUGUUUACUUUCUGUGAUUCAUCUGCUUGAUUUCGUUUUUGACGUCAUGCUCCCAGAGGUGAGUAGAUCAAACUAUAUAGCUUGCUUUGAAAAUUGAUGAUAUUGUUAAGAGGUUGUUCUUAUUCAUUUGGAAAGCUCAAGAACAACAAUUAACCCAUACUGCAUAACUUCAAUUGUUCACAUUAUUUGACUGUUUUUCAGCAUUUGAUCAAAGCACUGAAGGAGCAUGGCAUCACCCGGUCAGAGCAGAGCAGAGCUGAUGAUGGCCUGUGGCAACGUGUUUUAAGCCCCCCACCACACCGACGGCAGUGCUGAAUUUUGUAUAUAUAUAUAUAUUCUUUUACUGUUCACAAUUUUGUUUGGAAAAAAUUAAAGAAAUCUUCAAAGCA